UACAGAGGGUGCGAGCGUUAAUCGGAAUUACUGGGCGUAAAGCGUGCGUAGACGGUUAUAUAAGUCGGAUGUGAAAGCCCCGGGCUCAACCUGGGAACUGCAUUUGUGACUGCAUCGCUGGAGUGCGGCAGAGGGGGAUGGAAUUCCGCGUGUAGCAGUGAAAUGCGUAGAUAUCAAGAGGAACACCUGAGGUGAAGACGGGUUGCUGGGCUGACACUGACGCUGAGGCGCGAAAGCCAGGGGAGCAAACGGG
rnacentral:rRNA from 1 species